rnacentral:tmRNA from 1 species
UCAGACUGGCUCUCUGAAGGCCCGCCCGCAGGCACGACGAUGAGCGAAUCCAAAUAUGCAGGGCUACGCUCGUAGACGCUGAAGUAUCGACGUUUCUGGACGUGGGUUCGACUCCCACCGUCUCCAUAC